GCCGGGCACGAUGGCACAUGCCUGUCGUCCCAACUAUUCCGGAGGCUGAGGCUGAAGGAUCACUUGAGUCCAGGAGUUCUGGGCUGUAAUGAGAUAUGCUGAUCGAGUGUCUGCACUAAGUUCAGCAUCAAUAUGGUGACCUCCCUGGAGCCGGGGACCAUCAGGUUGCCUAAGGAGGGGUGAACCGGCCCAGGUCUGAAACGGAGUAGGUGAAAACUCCUGUGCUGAUCAGUAGUGGGACCGCACCUGUGAAUAGCCACUACACUCCAGCCUGGGCAACAUGGUGAGACCCUGUUUCUA
rnacentral:SRP_RNA from 1 species